AAAAUAUUUCUUAAACAGGUAUUGCGGACAUUAACGCACUGGAUAAAAGAUGGACUUUGCAAGAGAUUGUUUGCUGGUCUUUGCACUAUUUAUCACUGUUUAUGCUCAAGGAGCUGCAACAGGAACUGGAAAAGUCAUUGGUGUAACCUGCAGUGCCUCAAAUGCGGCUACAGUAUGCAGUUUACCACAUUAAGAAUGUCCUUCUUCCGGCAAUGUGUGUGCAUGCAAAGCGGGUUAUUACAAUAAAAACGACAAGUGCUUGAAAGCUCUUGGUUCUGCAUGUGGAAGUGGCAAUGCAUCAUCUGUUUGCACAACCCCAAACGCGGAGAGUAACAAGGCCAGAAAACUAUGCGCUUGCAAAGCUGGAUUUAUGGCUGAAGACACAGCUUUUCCGAAAG